rnacentral:lncRNA from 1 species
CUCAGGAGGGUUUCUGGAUGCCAACGAGACCCCAGCCACAGCCGGUCCCCAGAUUCUUGACAUCAUCACAAGAAAGAAUUCACAGGGUUGCUUCAGCGUCCUCACAACAGGAUGGCUGACUUCCCCAAGAGAGCAGCUCAAGAGAGAGCAAGGAGAAAGACACAACAUCUUUAAUGAUCUAUGCUUGGAAGCUAUAUGUUGCCACUUUUGCAAUAUCCUACAGAUCGCUUAGCUCCAUCCAACAUGGAAAGGGAUCAGACACGGGCAUCAUUGCCAGAUGAUAAUCCCUGAUGGUCAUCUUGGAUGCUGGCCACCACAGUUACAUUUGAGGCAGAGGUUAUGGGGUUUUGGGAGGAAGACCUCAGAGGUAAAGUGCCUCUCUCAUCGCAUGUCGAGGGUGCCUACCAUCAACGUGACGGGUCACUGUUAAUGUGGACCUUCAUCACCUGGCUGAGGCUGGGCUUACCAGGUUUCUCCACUGUACGCUCACUCUGCCUCCACCCCUUUCCAUACUGCAUGCACUCUUUGGAAGGAAGACACCGUGUGCUGCCUACACUUAAGGAAUGAGGCAUUAUGUUCCCCCAACUCUUGAGGACAAAGUGUCUGCAUGAAUUAUUUGGAAUAUUCUUCCACAUGGGUGAUUCGCCUUCUGCCAUGAUUGGAAGCUUCCCGAGGCUCUCACCAGGAGCAGAUGCCAGUGCCAUGCUUCCU